ACCAGGAGGCAUCUUUGCCUCCCAGAUGCAGGCAGGCACUUGUCCUGGCUGCCUUUGCCCUGUUCCCAUCCCGGGAAGGAGCAUGGCAAGGCCACGAUGCGAGGUGCCAAAUCCCCCCGUGCCGGUGGGCACCAUCCAAACCAUCGCCGCAGCUGAGAGCCGUGGGGGGAAUUCAGCCCCCCCAGGUGUGGAGGCACCCCAGGUGUCGGUGGGCUGCUUAAUUGCAGUGAUUAAAGCAGGGACAGCUGGAAGAGGCUAGGUUUGGGUGGUGGAGAUGGCUGCUGGAGCGUGAGGGUCUCUGUGCUGCGGAGGUUGCUGCCCUCCUGAAGGGGAGAAGCCUGCAGACUCGGUGCUCGUAAAGCAGCCUUGUUAUGCAAUGCGUGCACUUAGGUUUUAUCACCUGGAUUUACCGGAGCCUUUCUCCGUGUGCAUCUUCAUAUACUUUGAUAUACAUCUGCGUGUUCUUCGAUUCAGGGUAUAUCUGGUAUGCGAGUAGCGAGGAGAAACCAGAACUGGAGGCUUUGAGCUUCAGAAAGCUGCUACGACAUUUUAUGGGAAACUUAUUUGCCUGGGUUUGGCAUCAGGGUGAUGUGUCCUGUGUUGGAAGCUGUAGAUAUGUAUGAAAGGGAGGAGAUUUCAUGUUGCUUUAUGCAGAAACCAGCAUUGAGAACAAAUUGAAGAUCCAAUUCCUUUGGAUGCUCCUGGCCUUCCCGGAGUAAAAAGUGUCACAGCUCUGCGUGAGAACUGUCUGGGAAGCUGGGGAGCGAGCACCAUCCACAUCGAUUCGCUGCCCCACUGCUCCAGGGAAAGAAAGCCAGCUCUGCCUAGCGAUCCCACUCCCGUCUGGCUUAAAACAGAAGAAAAGAGCAGAAAAAAGCGGCCUCGGACUUGGAAAUAGGUAGGCAGCGAGGCAGCAGCAACCUUGGCUCGCCGCAGCCAGGAGAGCCUGAAACAGGCUGACAAAGAGACAGCAGGAGAGAGCAUUUAGUGCUAACAAUUGACUGGAUCCCGUGCCCUUGGGGAAGUUUUUGUUCUGUUCUUGGUAGGGGAAAUAGCUUGGAUGAAAGAUAUGAGGAUAUGAAAUAAGUUGAACAGCGGGAAGUUGUGUAAACAUGAUUAAUUCCAUUAAUGGCAACUUUCAAAUUGAAGGUUGUCAGUCCUUGUGGAUAUACCUCUUGUUUUCUUACCCCGUGUCACGCAGAGCAUCGAAACGCUCUGCUACGGGAAAGUAUUAAAAAAUUAAGAGAAGAAUACGCUUGGUUAGCUGCCUGGAAAGAGGAAGAAAAGUCUGCUGCCUUGCCCCAGCUUAUAGCAGCUUUGGGAGGCUUCGUGUCAUAUUUUUCGUAUUUGCUUUAGUUGUGUUGUACCAAUAACAGGGUUCGUUUGCUGAGCGUGUUUGGGGACGAGGCACGCAGAAGAACACAACCGGCUUCUCAGUUUCUGCUGGUCAGAAGCUGUCUUGAAACCAAGAAAACCCCCAAAUUCAGAAGCUGGUAGCAUCGCUCAGCAGGAGGACAGCUUGGGCUUUCGAGAUGGAGAUGCUGUUGGGAAAACCAGCCAGUGUCACUGUCCCGUAGUCCGAAUUCGGAGGUGAUGAGGUCUGCAGACACCGCCAGGCUACCACGGGAGAAGAACCAACACCAAAUGCCUUGGAUCUCCCCAAAAAUCACGGCAGUGCUGAGAUUUAUUUCAAAGGAGAAGCGUACAAGGUGCUGUACUCUGCUUUGGAGGAGGUAAUGAACCUGUGCUCAUUUUCCUGAUUAAUUACUCCAGGAAAGACUAAGCGUACACGUGUGUGUGUGUAUAUACACAUAUAUGUGCACGUGUGAGUUCAUGGACAGUCCUGCUUUUGCUCCACGAAGCCUCCCCCCGUCCCGCACGGUUGAAAUAAGAUGCAGCUGACGCCAUUCUCUUUGCCUUUUUAUGAUAUGGGGAUGCGGUGGUAUCAAAGCAGGCAGGAUGAAAGCACGAAAGCUUCCUGUUUCCAGCUGUUUUCCUCGGCAAAGACUCUUUUUUCCAAAGAUGAUGCUUCCUUUUAAGGGGUUUUUAAUCUGCAAACUGUUUCCUCAGUUUAUUUCACUACAGUAAAAUGUGUUCCCUUUAGGUCAUAUCUGUCUCUUAAAAACCAACCUGCCCUUUUCAGUAGUUUUAUUUGCUACUCAAAAGAACAAACAUGACUUUAUAAAAAACCUUUAAUGAAGUACAAAGACCAAUAAACCUUUUGCCACUAGAGC